CCAGCGGGUGGAGAUGUGGAUUAUUCGAUGCAACGCGAAAAACCUUACCUACCCUUGACAUGUCUGGAAAGCCGAAGAGAUUUGGCCGUGCUCGCAAGAGAACCGGAACACAGGUGCUGCAUGGCUGUCGUCAGCUCGUGUCGUGAGAUGUUGGGUUAAGUCCCGCAACGAGCGCAACCCUUGUCAUUAGUUGCUACGCAAGAGCACUCUAAUGAGACUGCCGGUGACAAACCGGAGGAAGGUGGGGAUGACGUCAAGUCCUCAUGGCCCUUAUGGGUAGGGCUUCACACGUCAUACAAUGGUCGGGACAGAGGGUCGCCAACCCGCGAGGGGGAGCCAAUCUCAGAAACCCGAUCGUAGUCCGGAUCGCAGUCUGCAACUCGACUGCGUGAAGUCGGAAUCGCUAGUAAUCGCGGAUCAGAAUGUCGCGGUGAAUACGUUCCCGGGUCUUGUACACACCGCCCGUCACACCAUGGGAGUGGGUUUCACCAGAAGUAGGUAGCCUAACCGUAAGGAGGGCGCUUACCACGGUGGGAUUCAUGACUGGGGUGAAGUCGUAACAAGGGUAGCCGUA
rnacentral:rRNA from 1 species